CGCAACUUGCGCCCUUUGGUAUUCCGGAGGGCAUGCCUGUUUGAGUGUCAUGUAGACUCAUCUCAUCAGAUUUUUCUGAUACAAGGUGGAUUUGGAGGUUUGCCUCGUUUGGCUCCUCUUAAAAGCAUGAUGCAGACGUAAUAAGUUCCGUCGUACGCAUCCAACUACAUAUUUUGUACUCUGGCCUCAAAUCAGGUAGGACUACCCGCUGAACUUAA
rnacentral:misc_RNA from 1 species